rnacentral:rRNA from 1 species
AAAGGCGUAAUGAAAGUGAAGGUUCACCUUGCGCGAACCGAGGGAGGAUGGACGGUCCUUCGAGAUCGUCCCGCACUCCCUGGGCGUCUCGUUCUCAUUGCGAGAAGAGGCGCACCAAGAGCGUACACGCUGGGACCCGAAAGAUGGUGAACUAUGCCUGGUCAGGACGAAGUCAGGGGAAACCCUGAUGGAGGUCCGUAGCGAUUCUGACGUGCAAAUCGAUCGUCGGAACUGGGUAUAGGGGCGAAAGACUAAUCGAACCAUCUAGUAGCUGGUUCCCUCCGAAGUUUCCCUCAGGAUAGCUGGCGCUCGUCUCGUACGAGUCUCAUUCGGUAAAGCGAAUGAUUAGAGGCAUUGGGGUCGAAACGGCCUCAACCUAUUCUCAAACUUUAAAUGGGUGAGAUCUCCGGCUUGCUUGAACUAUGAAGCCGCGAGAUAUCGGAUCAGAGUGCCAAGUGGGCCACUUUUGGUAAGCAGAACUGGCGCUGUGGGAUGAACCAAACGCCGAGUUAAAGCGCCUAAAUCGACGCUUAUGGGA